AGAACCUCCUGUGGAGAAUGCUAACACGACAGAGCCUAACGGAGUGUAUGAGGAGAUCAGAGAGGAGGAAAGACGGACGAGAUCUACUCCUGUUGAAAUAUCCACAGUUUACACUUUUCCACUGCAGCCAGUUCUCAGAAGAAAGUAAAUAAAAACUGUAGCAGGAUUUUAGCGUUGGGUUCAGCAAAUCGUAUCAUUAAAAUCAUUGUUUCUGAGCAACAUAA